UACGGAGGGUGCAAGCGUUAAUCGGAGUUACUGGGCGUAAAGCGCGCGUAGGCGGUGCGGUAAGUCAGGGGUUAAAGGCUGCAGCUCAACUGCAGUAAGGCCUUUGAUACUAUCGCGCUAGAGUACCAGAGAGGAUGGCGGAAUUCCAGGUGUAGUGGUGAAAUACGUAGAUAUCUGGAAGAACACCAGUGGCGAAGGCGGCUACUUGGUUCGCAACUGACGCUGAGGCGCGAAAGCGUGGGGAGCAAACAGG
rnacentral:rRNA from 1 species